rnacentral:lncRNA from 1 species
UGUAAUAUUUUAAUCUGUUACUGGGAGUGCGACGGAAAUCACACAUCUCCCAUUAAACAGGUCACUGUCACAUAAUUGAAAAAUGUUUUUUAAUUUUUUUUUUACUUUAUUUUCUUUCUUAUUCCUUUUUUUUCUUCUCUCUUCUCUCUCUACUUUUUCUCUUUCUUUUCUCUUGUCUCUCUUCUCCUCCCUCCACAACCCUAGCCAUGGCUAUCGAACUUGCACCGAAGCUCCAAUCAGAGGCCACCAAAUUGAAGUUCCCUUUCUCCUCUAUCAUUUUCUUGAUUUGGUGCUUUCGAAAAUAUCUCAAAAAUCCCCAUAUCGACACCAAAGCUUUAAACUAUUUCAGCUCUGAUCUCCCUUGUUGACCAUCAAAUCAUCUUUGAUUUGUGAUAUGUGCAUCCUCUCGCAGUCAACCAACUUUUGACCGUUAGGAUUGAAAUUACAUUGAAUUGGUCAAACUCGAAAUGGGUUGUACUUCCUUUUAUUUUUCCUUUUUGUUUUCUCUCUUUUUCUUUUUGAUUUUCAUCCGUGAUUUAAUUUGUUUGGAGAUUUUUUAGGCUUGAAGCUUUGUUGUUUAUGCAUGACCCACACACACACACACUUUCUCUCUCUCUCUCGAUAUACAUGUAUUUGGCUUUGUUGACUUUGGUAUUGCAGAGUUUUUUGGGGGUUUGAUUAAUUGUGUGGCUUAGGUUUGGUGGGGAGGCCUAGAUUGAAUGAGAGGUUGUGAGGUUUGGUUUAAAUCAAGUGACGAAAGUCACAUCAAUGUUUAAUGGACCACGUGUAAUUUCCGUCCCAUUCUAAUGUCAAACAUAAUAAGUGUUUUGUAACAAAUUAAAAUGUAAAAUUGAUUUUUGUAGUUUAGCUUAAGCAGAUUAAUACAUCUAUAAAUAAAAGCCAAUAAUUGAAUUCUUAUCAUUUAAUUUGAAAAUGAAAAUAGAAAGAAAGAAAAGGAAUACAUAUGAGAGUAUUUUCUCUAAACCUAUUUAGCCACUCAUUAACGUUUUAC